GAUGGGAGUGAUGAGUAUGAUGAUAAAGGGAAAUGCCGUAAUACAUUUCAGACUGCUGGAUACUUAAAGGACUUGUCCAGCAGCUUAGAGGAUGCUGUGGACGUCCAUGACAGUUUAGCUGCUGAAGCUGAACAUGGUGAUGCUUCCAGAAAGGAAAGGUCCUCAGUUCAAGGUGUAGAACAGGUCUAUAUUGAGAUGCAUUUCUUUGGCGUAAUACUAGACAACAUUGACAGUUGAAGUUUUUAGAAUGAAAAUUAUAUUUCACUAACAUUGUAUACAUUUCUUGUUUAAUAUUUGGUGAUGAUAUAAUUUGAUUGUAGUAUAAACUGUCAUGUAAUAUGAUUUUGUAACCCGAGUAGACUAAAUACUGAAAUGAUAUUUUU